UACGGAGGGUGCAAGCGUUAAUCGGAAUUACUGGGCGUAAAGCGCGCGUAGGCGGCUGAGUAAGUCGAUUGUGAAAUCCCCGGGCUCAACCUGGGACCUGCAUUUGUGACUGCAUCGCUAGAGUACGGUAGAGGGGGAUGGAAUUCCGCGUGUAGCAGUGAAAUGCGUAGAUAUGCGGAGGAACACCGAUGGCGAAGGCAAUCCCCUGGACCUGUACUGACGCUCAUGCACGAAAGCGUGGGGAGCAAACAGG
rnacentral:rRNA from 1 species